rnacentral:rRNA from 1 species
GACGAACGCUGGCGGCGUGCCUAAUACAUGCAAGUAGGACGCAGUUGCGAACGGGUGAGUAACGCGUAGGUAACUACCUAUUAGAGGGGGAUAACUAUUGGAAACGAUAGCUAAUACCGCAUACUAGUUGAUGGACCUGCGUUGUAUUAGCUAGUAGGUAGGGUAAUGGCCUACCUAGGCAAUGAUACAUAACCGACCUGGGAGGGUGGUCCGGUAAAAUGGUACUUAGACACAGCCCAGACUCCCUCAGGAGGCAGCAGGAGGGAAUCUUCGGCAAUAGGGGGAACCCUGACCGGGCAACGCCGCGUGAGUGAAGAAGGUUUUCGGAUCGUAAAGCUCUGUUGUUAAGGAAGCGGUACUUAACCAGAAAGGGACGGCUAACUACGUGCCAGCAGCCGCGGUAAUUC